rnacentral:rRNA from 1 species
GACGAACGCUGGCGGCGUGCUUAACACAUGCAAGUCGAGCGGUAAGGCUCCUUCGGGAGUACACGAGCGGCGAACGGGUGAGUAACACGUGAGUAAUCUGCCCUUCACUUCGGGAUAACCACCGGAAACGGUGGCUAAUACCGAAUACGACCAGUCUUCGCAUGAGGUGCUGGUGGAAAGUCUUUUCGGUGAAGGAUGUGCUCGCGGCCUAUCAGCUUGUUGGUGGGGUAAUGGCCUACCAAGGCUUCGACGGGUAGCCGGCCUGAGAGGGUGACCGGCCACACUGGGACUGAGACACGGCCCAGACUCCGACGGGAGGCAGCAGUGGGGAAUAUUGGACAAUGGGCGAAAGCCUGAUCCAGCAACGCCGCGUGAGGGAUGACGGCCUUCGGGUUGUAAACCUCUUUCAGUACCGACGAAGCGCCCUGUCGGGUGGUGACGGUAGGUACAGAAGAAGGACCGGCCAACUACGUG